UACGGAGGGUGCAAGCGUUAUCCGGAUUCACUGGGUUUAAAGGGUGCGUAGGCGGCCUGGCAAGUGGAAGGUGAAAUCCCUCGGCUUAACCGAGGAACUGCCCUCCAAACUGCUUGGCUUGAGUCCGGGAGAGGUGAGUGGAAUUCCCAGUGUAGCGGUGAAAUGCGCAGAUAUCGGGAAGAACACCCGUGGCGAAGGCGGUUCUCUGGGACGGUACUGACGCUGAGACGCGAAAAGCGUGGGGAGCGAACAGG
rnacentral:rRNA from 1 species